rnacentral:lncRNA from 1 species
UUGUCAGUCCAGUAGAAAGGGAACAAGGGAUCUCCUAUCUCAUCAUACAUUAGAUCAGGAAGUUGGUCGCUACUGCGAACCCUAAAGAAGGAGUCCUUGAAGCCUUUGAAGUUGGAGGCAUACAGACUCAUGAGGCGAUGAUUGGGUUGGCUACUAAGAGAAACCAUAGUCUGGGGUUUUAGGUUUUUGAUAUGGUAAAAACAGAAGAAAACACCAAUCGAGGGUACCAGUUCAAAACCUAGGCACAUCACCUCGA